rnacentral:rRNA from 1 species
AGAAGCAGCAGGCGCGCAAAUUACCCACUCCCGGCACGGGGAGGUAGUGACGAAAAAUAACGAUACGGGACUCAUCCGAGGCCCCGUAAUCGGAAUGAGUACACUCUAAAUCCUUUAACGAGUAUCCAUUGGAGGGCAAGUCUGGUGCCAGCAGCCGCGGUAAUUCCAGCUCCAAUAGCGUAUAUUAAAGUUGUUGCGGUUAAAAAGCUCGUAGUUGGACUUGUGUCCCACGCUGUCGGUUCACCGUUCGUCGGUGUUUAACUGGCAUGCCCGUGCGGACGUCCUGCCGGUGGAUGCGGUCGGCCGCGGGCCUCUGGUCUGCGCGUCGGCGGUCCGAAUGAAUCCUACCGCGGUGCUCUUCACCGAGUGUCGAGGUGGGCCGGCACGUUUACUUUGAACAAAUUAGAGUGCUCAAAGCAGGCAGUUUCUCGCCUGAAUAUUGUGUGCAUGGAAUAAUGGAAUAGGACCUCGGUUCUAUUUUGUUGGUUUUCGGAACUUGAGGUAAUGAUUAAUAGGAACAGAUGGGGGCAUUCGUAUUGCGACGUUAGAGGUGAAAUUCUUGGAUCGUCGCAAGACGAACCUAAGCGAAAGCAUUUGCCAUAGAUGUUUUCAUUAAUCAAGAACGAAAGUUAGAGGUUCGAAGGCGAUCAGAUACCGCCCUAGUUCUAACCAUAAACGAUGCCAGCUAGCGAUCCGCCGAAGUUCCUCCGAUGACUCGGCGGGCAGCUUCCGGGAAACCAAAGCUUUUGGGUUCCGGGGGAAGUAUGGUUGCAAAGCUGAAACUUAAAGGAAUUGACGGAAGGGCACCACCAGGAGUGGAGCCUGCGGCUUAAUUUGACUCAACACGGGAAACCUCACCAGGCCCGGACACCGGAAGGAUUGACAGAUUGAGAGCUCUUUCUUGAUUCGGUGGGUGGUGGUGCAUGGCCGUUCUU